UACGUAGGGGGCUAGCGUUGUCCGGAUUUAUUGGGCGUAAAGAGCGUGUAGGCGGCCAGGUAGGUCCGUUGUGAAAACUCGAGGCUCAACCUCGAGACGUCGGCGGAAACCCUCUGGCUAGAGUCCGGAAGAGGAGAGUGGAAUUCCUGGUGUAGCGGUGAAAUGCGCAGAUAUCAGGAAGAACACCAAUGGCGAAGGCAGCUCUCUGGGACGGUACUGACGCUGAGACGCGAAAGCGUGGGGAGCGAACAGG
rnacentral:rRNA from 1 species